rnacentral:rRNA from 1 species
CCUACGGGUGGCAGCAGUGAGGAAUAUUGGUCAAUGGACGCAAGUCUGAACCAGCCAUGUAGCGUGCAGGAUGACUGCCCUAUGAGUUGUAAACUUCUUUUGUACAGGAGUAAACCGAGGUACGUGUGCCUUUUUGAAAGUACUUUAUGAAUAAGGAUCGGCUAACUCCGUGCCAGCAGCCGCGGUAAUACGGAGGAUUCGAGCGUUAUCCGGAUUUAUUGGGUUUAAAGGGAGCGUAGAUGGGUUGUUAAGUUAGAGGUGAAAGUGUGCGGCUCAACUGUAGAAUUGCAAUUGAUACUGGCAGUCUAGAGAGCAGUUGAGGUAGGCGGAAUGCAUGGUGUAGCGGUGAAAUGCUUAGAGAUCACGAAGAACCCCGAUUGCGAAGGCAGCUUACUAAGCUGUUACUGACAUUGAGGCACGAAAGUGUGGGUAUCAAACAGGAUUAGAUACCCUAGUAGUC